AUCUACUUAUAUCCCUCUAGAGCCGCCAUGGUCGUUGGGAUUUGUUUAGAUCAAGUUUAGCCUUCGCUACUUGCUUGUAGGCGCGCGUGCAGGAUCAGCCGCCCGUCUCCUUGUCUUCGAAACCCCAUUGUUGAUUCAGAUUCAGUUUGAAACCUUCAAUUCAUCUUGCAAAUUCAGUGCUUGUUUCCUCGUUCUUGCUAGUUCUUCGAUUGCUUGCAGGACGGGAGCCCUAGGGGCUGGUUGUCGUGCUCCACAAGAUCGUGACGGCUGUUGGACGUGGUGUAUCGGUUGCUAAGGCGCGGUCUUGAGGGCUGUAGUCGGGCCGUGAACGUCAUCUCCAUCCAC
rnacentral:lncRNA from 1 species